CCCUUAGGCCACAGUUUUUUAAUUUGUUGGUUUACGGAUUUUCUCCAUGAAAAAGUCGGGUCGGUCGGUCGGGAAAAAAAUAAAAAAAAUAUUUUUCAAGACAGAAAACUGAUAUGUAAAAUAAAUAUAUAUUUCACCUUUCUAUAAUAAUAUGUUUGUUAUCCUAUUUUGUCAUCAUUUCUUAAAUUUUAGUUUAAUGAAAUAUUAUUGCUCAGUUGUAAUAAAAAUUGCAUGACAUUGCCUAAUAAUUUCCCGUAAAAAAGGGGGUGCACGGACAAAGACGUAAUUAAAUUUCAUAAAGGAAGACAAAUUCACAUAGCUCUUAAUCAAUUCCAGAAAACUUGGUGAAUAAUGAUCUUCAAGAACGAAAACUGAUAAAGAAAUAAAUGUAAAAGCGUGGUAAGAAAAUAAUUUUCAACACACGCGUCAAAAAUGUAAUAGACUCGUCCACUGGAAAAAAUGAGAAUAUCGGGUUAAUCUGUUGUCACG
rnacentral:lncRNA from 1 species